UCGAAUGACCCAUCGGAGCUACCAAACACACUGCUGUUCGUAUUUAGAAGGGAGACCCCCUCCCUCUUCACCUUUCACUUAUACAACCUGCCCGCCCAUUUUCUGAGUAAAUCAACCACUUAUGGCCAACAUGUCAGUUCGCUGAUAAUCGACGGUGAUAGGGAGAAUUUCCUUACUCAGCCACUUCUACUGGCUUCAGUGUGGGUGCGCAUUUGUAUGUAUUCUGUAGUGUCCAGGCAACUCUUUUGUGUUGUAGUAGGUGUCUGCAAUGACAACAA
ensembl:ncRNA C41A3.4 ncRNA